GGGCACAUGGUGUAGUUGGUUAUCACGCUCGCUUAGCACCAGCGAAAUCUAUGGUAAUCUGCGAGAGGUGUUGGGUUCAAUUCCCAAUGUGUCCA
rnacentral:tRNA from 1 species